AAGGAGACAGAAAACCAAGUCUGGUUGAUGAGGCAUGGCCAAUAGACCAGAGCGUGAUUAACAAUAGCUCCCAUAGCCCACGGGUUAUGAUGCCGUAGAUGAUCGUUCUUUGCCCCAACCUCGGUGUGCUGAGAUGGUCUAAUGGCUGUCUGACAGACU
rnacentral:snoRNA from 1 species